GUCAUUCUCUGGGAAGAGGGCUUUGGAGCUGGGGACCAGAUGUGAUAGGAAGCAGCCCAGGAAAGGAGUGAUGAGAGUGGAAAAUCCAGAACUGCUGAGCUGAGAGUCCCUGGACUGGAACCCAGAUUAGAGGGCAGGCCUGGGUUCCCCUACCAGCCACUGAGACAGUGGAAGGGAAGGCUGCCUAGGACUGCUAGGGAGAGAGGACUUUGCUACCCCAGAAGGGGAAAACACUGAGUGACCUGGCUGAGUCAUGAAGAGGACACUGUGGUUUCUGGAGUGAGAGAGGGGCUGCAGACCAGAGGAAGAGACAGAGUGAUGGCAUACACACCGCUUAAGGGGGCAUUGACCUCUAGAGCUAAUCCCCAGAGCAACCAGGAGGAGGUGACAGACCAGUGGUGUGCCCUGUGACCAUAAUAUUUCCCAAAGCAGGCCCAUGGAAGUGAUAGGUAUCGCCAAAGGGAUGAAUUUCAUCAUCUGAAAACCAAGUCCUGGAGAAGUGAGCACAUUGACCAGGUGCAUCUUCCAGUUAUGCAAAUGAAGAAGCAGCUUCAAAACAAACGAGUCACGCAGUGCCAAAAAGAGGACUUUUGAAAUAUCUAAUGCAUACUGCCAGAU